rnacentral:rRNA from 1 species
AAGUGCGACGUAGUCGCAACAGUUGGGAAGCUGUGCCAUAGAGGGUGAGAGCCCCGUAGACGAAACGUCACACUCUCUGUUCAGGAUCCUGAGUACGGCGGGACACGUGAAACCCCGUUGGAACCAGCGAGGACCAUCUCGCAAGGCUAAAUACUCCCUAGUGACCGAUAGUGAACCAGUACCGUGAGGGAAAGGUGAAAAGCACCCCGGAAGGGGAGUGAAAUAGUUCCUGAAACCAUGUGCC